ACCAGCUCAGUUGGCUAGAGCGUGGUACUGAUAACACCAAGGUCACAGGUUCGAUCCCCACGUGGGGCA